CGAAGGGGGCUAGCGUUGCUCGGAAUCACUGGGCGUAAAGCGCACGUAGGCGGAUUCUUAAGUCGGUGGUGAAAGCCUGGAGCUCAACUCCAGAACUGCCUUCGAUACUGAGAGUCUUGAGUCCGGGAGAGGUGAGUGGAACUGCGAGUGUAGAGGUGAAAUUCGUAGAUAUUCGCAAGAACACCAGUGGCGAAGGCGGCUCACUGGCCCGGUACUGACGCUGAGGUGCGAAAGCGUGGGGAGCAAAACAGGAUUAGAUACCCUGGUAGUCCACGCCGUAAACGAUGGAUGCUAGCCGUUGGACAGCUUGCUGUUCAGUGCGCAGCUAAACGCAUUAAGCAUCCCGCCUGGGGAUACGGUCGCAAGAUUAA
rnacentral:rRNA from 1 species